AAAAAAAAAAGCUGAAAAGUAGCACAGCCCCUUGCCAGUCAAUUCAUCCCAACUGAGGGCCUGCACCUUUUCUUUUCAGUGGAGUAUCGGUUAUGGACAGAUUGCGAGUUACAGCCGAAGGCAGUAUGACAGCUUUAUUGCUGCUGCGUGAGCAACAUUUUCUUUGAUUGGGAAACAGGCUGAGGACUUGCAGAAAGCUUCAGAGAAAACUGAAUGAAGAAACUGUGUAUAAUACAGCCUGUCAGAAAAUACAUUCUCAAGUGACCGACAGGAGGGGAAUUAGGACUUGCAUCUCAAACAGACAUCCUGAAUGCUCUAUCCAGCUGUACAAACAAUUGCACAGGACCUUGUCCCAGGUAGGGAUGAAGCAAUGCAGAAAGUAGAGACCUUCUUGCUGACUUAAGAGAGUUUCCAAACAAGCACAAGCAGCUCAGCAUAUUUUUCAGACCUGCAGCCUAGAUAGAGACAUUUGCAAAUUGCUUUGUUUUGCCCUGUAUGUGAUGUUGGCUUACCUGAUGUAAAAAAUGUGGCUCAUCUGGAUUUCAGCUAUAUUCUGUCCACCCAGGGUCCAAACCAGAAAAACUUGAUUAUGGCGCUACUUGCAUCUGAUCCAUUCCGAACCAAAGGAAUAGGUUUAUUUUUGAGAAGACCUUAUAUAAAGACACUGCCUUCAAGAAGAAACAUUGGAAUUUUAGGGCUAUUUGAAACAGUGUGUAAGCAUAUGUUGUAUGUCAUGACUAUGCUGCCUAACAUGCAGUUGGAUGAAAAGCACUUGAAGUAUCUUUGGACCGAACCCACAAUAAAGCUCUCCAAUACUUCAGUGGAUGUAGUGCAUGUGAAGCUAUUUCAGAAUGAAGCCCAUAAUCCUGGACCUCUUUUCAUGGGAGGCUGA
rnacentral:lncRNA from 1 species